GAUGAACGCUGGCGGCGUGCCUAAUACAUGCAAGUCGAGCGAACGGACGAGAAGCUUGCUUCUCUGAUGUUAGCGGCGGACGGGUGAGAAACACGUGGAUAACCUACCUAUAAGACUGGGAUAACUUCGGGAAACCGUAGCUAAUACCGGAUAAUAUUUUGAACCGCAUGGUUCAAAAGUGAAAGACGGUCUUGCUGUCACUUAUAGAUGGAUCCGCGCUGCAUUAGCUAGUUGGUAAGGUAACGGCUUACCAAGGCAACGAUGCAUAGCCGACCUGAGAGGGCGAUCGGCCACACUGGAACUGAGACACGGUCCAGACUCCUACGGGAGGCAGCAGUAGGGAAUCUUCCGCAAUGGGCGAAAGCCUGACGGAGCAACGCCGCGUGAGUGAUGAAGGUCUUCGGAUCGUAAAACUCUGUUAUUAGGGAAGAACAUAUGUGUAAGUAACUGUGCACAUCUUGACGGUACCUAAUCAGAAAGCCACGGCUAACUACGUG
rnacentral:rRNA from 1 species